GACAGAGGGGGCAAGCGUUGCUCGGAAUUACUGGGCGUAAAGGGCGCGUAGGCGGGAUGGCAAGUCGGUCGUGAAAUCCCUCGGCUCAACUGAGGAGCGUCGAUCGAAACUGCCGUUCUUGAGGGUUGCAGAGGAGACUGGAAUUCCCGGUGUAGCGGUGAAAUGCGUAGAUAUCUGGAGGAACACCGGUGGCGAAGGCGGCAUCCUGGACCAAUAUUGACGCUGAGGAGCGAAAGCCAGGGGAGCAAACGGG
rnacentral:rRNA from 1 species